rnacentral:rRNA from 1 species
UACGAAGGGUGCAAACGUUGCUCGGAAUUAUUGGGCGUAAAGCGCACGUAGGCGGCUUGGCAAGUCGGAUGUGAAAGCCCUCGGCUCAACCAAGGAAGUGCAUCCGAAACUGCUGAGCUUGAGUACUUAAGAGGAUCGCGGAAUUCCCGGUGUAGAGGUGAAAUUCGUAGAUAUCAGGAGGAACACCGGUGGCGAAGGCGGAUCUCUGGGCCAUUACUGACGCUGAGGAGCGAAAGCGUGGGGAGCGAACAGG